UACGGAGGGUGCGAGCGUUACCCGGAUUUACUGGGUGUAAAGGGCGUGUAGGCGGUCUCUCAAGUCCGAUGCUAAAGACCGAAGCUCAACUUCGGGGGUGCGUUGGAUACUGUGAGGCUAGACGGUCGGAGAGGGUAGCGGAAUUUCCGGAGUAGCGGUGAAAUGCGCAGAUACCGGAAGGAACGCCAAUAGCGAAAGCAGCUACCUGGACGAUUUGUGACGCUGAGGCGCGAAAGCGUGGGGAGCAAACCGGAUUAGAUACCCGGGUAGUCCACGCCCUAAACGAUGAGUGCUGGGUGUCCGACAUCUGUUGGGUGCCGUAGCUAACGCGUUAAGCACUCCACCUGGGAAGUACGGUCGCAAGACUGAAACUCAAAGGAAUUGACGGGGGCCCGCACAAGCGGUGGAGCAUGUGGUUUAAUUCGAAGCAACGCGCAGAACCUUACCAGGUCUUGACAUCCACGGAACCCUGGUGAAAGCCGGGGGUGCCCGCAAGGGAGCCGUGAGACAGGUGCUGCAUGGUCGUCGUCAGCUCGUGUCGUGAGAUGUUGGGUUAAGUCCCGCAACGAGCGCAACCCUUGUUGCUAGUUGCCAUCAGUUCGGCUGGGCACUCUAGCGAGACUGCCUACGAAAGUAGGAGGAAGGCGGGGAUGACGUCUGAUCCGCAUGGCCCUUACGGCCUGGGCGACACACGUGCUACAAUGCCUGCCACAAAGCGCUGCGACCCGGCAACGGGAAGCCAAUCGCAUAAAAGCAGGCUCAGUUCGGAUUGGGGUCUGCAACUCGACCCCAUGAAGCUGGAAUCGCUAGUAAUCGCGGAUCAGCCAUGCCGCGGUGAAUACGUUCCCGGGCC
rnacentral:rRNA from 1 species